rnacentral:rRNA from 1 species
UUAAGCAUAUCAAUAAGCGGAGGAAAAGAAACCAACAGGGAUUGCCCCAGUAACGGCGAGUGAAGCGGCAACAGCUCAAAUUUGAAAUCUGGCCCCUAGGGUCCGAGUUGUAAUUUGUAGAGGAUGCUUUUGGUGAGGUGCCGCCCGAGUUCCCUGGAACGGGACGCCGCAGAGGGUGAGAGCCCCGUCUGGCUGGCCACCGAGCCUCUGUAAAGCUCCUUCAACGAGUCGAGUAGUUUGGGAAUGCUGCUCAAAAUGGGAGGUAUAUGUCUUCUAAAGCUAAAUAUUGGCCAGAGACCGAUAGCGCACAAGUAGAGUGAUCGAAAGAUGAAAAGCACCUUGAAAAGAGGGUUAAACAGUACGUGAAAUUGUUGAAAGGGAAGCGCUUGUGACCAGACUUGGGCGCGGCGGAUCAUCCGGGGUUCUCCCCGGUGCACUUCGCCGCGUUCAGGCCAGCAUCAGUUCGGCGCGGGGGAAAAAGGCUUCGGGAACGUGGCUCCUCCGGGAGUGUUAUAGCCCGUUGCAUAAUACCCUGUGCUGGACUGAGGACCGCGCAUCUGCAAGGAUGCUGGCGUAAUGGUCACCAGCGACCC